rnacentral:rRNA from 1 species
GACGAACGCUGGCGGCGUGCCUAAUACAUGCAAGUCGAACGGUCUUUUCUAUGGAAGCUUGCUUCCACUGAGAAGAUAGUGGCGAACGGGUGAGUAACACGUGGGUAACCUGCCCAUAAGAGGGGGAUAACAUCCGGAAACGGGUGCUAAUACCGCAUAGUUUCUUGAUCGCAUGAUUGAGAAAGGAAAGACGGCCUUUGUGCUGUCGCUUAUGGAUGGACCCGCGGCGUAUUAGUUAGUUGGUGAGGUAACGGCUCACCAAGACGAUGAUACGUAGCCGACCUGAGAGGGUGAUCGGCCACAUUGGGACUGAGACAUGGCCCAAACUCCUACGGGAGGCAGCAGUAGGGAAUCUUCCGCAAUGGACGAAAGUCUGACGGAGCAACGCCGCGUGAGUGAAGAAGGUUUUCGGAUCGUAAAACUCUGUUGUCAGAGAAGAACAAGUUGGAGAGUAACUGCUCCAGCCUUGACGGUAUCUGACCAGAAAGCCACGGCUAACUACGU